GAUGAACGCUGGCGGCGUGCCUAAUACAUGCAAGUCGAGCGGACGGACGAGAAGCUUGUUCCCUUGAUGUUAGCGGCGGACGGGCGAGUAACACGUGGAUAACCUACUUAUAAGACUGGGAUAACUUCGGAAACCGUAGUUAACUCCGGACACUAUUUUGAACCGCAUGGUUCAAAAGUGAAAUACGGCCUUGCUGUCUUUUAUAGAUGGAUCCGCGCUGCAUUAGCUAGUUGGUAAGGUAACGGCCUACCAAGGCAACGAUGCAUAGCCGACCUGAGAGGAUGAUCAGCCACACUGGAACUGAGACACGGUCCAGACUCCUACGGGAGGCAGCAGUAGGGAAUCUUCCACAAUGGGCGAAAGCCUGACGGAGCAACACCGCGUGAGUGAUGAAGGUCUUCGGAUCGUAAAACUCUGUUAUUAGGGAAGAACAGAUGUGUAAGUAACUGUGCACAUCUUGACGGUACCUAAUCAAAAAGCCACGGCUAACUACGUG
rnacentral:rRNA from 1 species